UACGGAGGGUGCAAGCGUUGCUCGGAAUUAUUGGGCGUAAAGGGCAAGUAGGUGGUCUCAUUUGUCAGGGGUGAAAGCCUUGGGCUUAACUCAAGAAGUGCCCCUGAAACGGUGAGACUCGAGUACUGGAGAGGGUCGUGGAAUUCCCGGUGUAGCGGUGAAAUGCGUAGAUAUCAGGAGGAACACCUGUGGCGAAAGCGGCUCACUGGACCAUAACUGACGCUGAUGCACGAAAGCUAGGGGAGCAAACAGG
rnacentral:rRNA from 1 species